AGAGGACUGGUCAAUGAUGAGGAAGGACCACUCUUAGCAAAUAUUCUCUUUCUGCUUUCAUUCCUUAGAGCAUGUGCAUACACUCUCAGCCUACUCCCACUGCAAGUCUUUACCUCACAAGGUGAUGAAUAAUAGAAAGGUUGUAACUGCAUAGAAGAAUCUUCCAUUUGGCUGGGGAGCUGGAGCUGCAGAGACAGAAGUGAGUGCAUACACCAUAAAGAAGAUACCCAUCCCAACCUUUCUGGCUCUCUCUUCCUGGUAGCGUGUGAAACAGGAGUGAUGUGAGCUGCUGAGUCAGGGGAAGGGCAGUUGCUUUAUCUUCUAUGUGUCUGAGCAAGGGGCAUCUCUAUUUCUUUUAGGUUCAAUCCUUCUUGAUUUUGUGUGAAUGAGCAUUCUAAGACUGAUCUAUGUUUCUGACCCUACUUCUUGUUAGUUAUGUCUUUUUCACUUCAGAUGCUGAUCAGGCUCAUCUGCUAAGAUCUCCAGGAAUAGAACCACAGACCUCUUGUGGGUGAAAUAGAAUGAGCCCCAACACUUUGCAAAGCCAGCAUAGAUGGCUGUUUGAAGAAUGACAUCUGUGAAUGGUUUCUCACUGUCUUGCAAGCAUUUGAAAUGCUUCUUAUGUUGAAAUGGUUGCUGUUGACAGAACUUUCCAGUGACCUAAACUUUCGAUGAAAAGAAUGAACCAACAACC
rnacentral:lncRNA from 1 species